GCUCCUGUGCGUCACUGAAACAGUAUGAAAGGUUCUCUGGUUAAACGUACUAUAAGGCAAUAUUGACACCAAGCUGUAGAAAGAGGCAACUACAGCUGGUACAGAGUAAACCAGUGGUACAGAGUAAACCAGUGCUACAGAGUAAACCAGUGGUACAGAGUAAACCAGUGGUACAGAGUAAACCAGUGCUACAGAGUAAACCACUGGUACAGAGUAAACCAGUGGUACAGAGUAAACCAGUGGUCAGCUACAGCUGGUACAGAGUAAACCAGUGGUACAGAGUAAACCAGUGGUACAGAGUAAACCAGUGGUCAGCUACAGAGCAUAUUUUUUCAGGUGCGGGAGAGCAAACAUUGAAAAAAAAAGUGUAUCUUUUCUCAAAGUUUGAAACAACAGAUGUAUCUUAUAGAAUAUCAUUAUAGAAUAUGCAUAACAUUGCCUCCUCCAAUUGACCACGCCUCCGCAUUAUUGUCUCAAGAAAAUGUUAUAUUUUUAAUACCCUCAAACACCAAGAUAAGCGUACCUACUCCAAAAUAGGCCAUCAUCACUGUCAAUCGCGAAUGAUAAUUCUUCACACUUCAGCAGUGAAAUGUCCAAACUGCAAGCUGUAUCUGCAUGGCAAUCAACUGAUCGCAAUCAGUUUCAUGGGAAUAUGAAUUUAGAUAAAAUGUUAUUUGAUAUGUCACAUGCGCCGAAUACAACAGGUACAAUACAACCUUACUGUGAAAUGCUUACUUACAAGCCCUUAAAACCAACAAUGCAGUUAAGAAAAUACCUAAAAAAAAGUAAGAGAUAAGAAUAACAAAUAAUUAAAAGAGCAGCAGUAAAUAACAAUAGAGGGGCUACAUUAUAUACAGGGGGAACUGGUACAGAGUUAAUGUGCAGGGGCACAGGUUAGUAAUGAGGCUAUAUAAAGGGGGUACAGGUUAGUUGAGGUAAUAUGUACAUGUAGGUAGAGUUAAAGUGACUAUGCACAGAUUAUAAACAGAGAGUAGCAGCAGCGUAAAAGAGGGUUCUGGGUAGCCAUUUGAUUAGCUGUUCAGGAGUCUUAUGGCUUGGGGGUAGAAGCUGUUAAGAAGCCUUUUGGACCUCGACUUGGCGCUCCGGUACCACUUGCCG
rnacentral:lncRNA from 1 species